GUCCUACGGGGGGCAGCAGUGAGGAAUAUUGGUCAAUGGGCGCGAGCCUGAACCAGCCAAGUCGCGUGAGGGAGGACGGCCCUACGGGUUGUAAACCUCUUUUGCCGGGGAGCAACGGGCGUCACGUGUGGCGCCACUGAGAGUACCCGGAGAAAAAGCAUCGGCUAACUCCGUGCCAGCAGCCGCGGUAAUACGGAGGAUGCGAGCGUUAUCCGGAUUUAUUGGGUGUAAAGGGCGUGCAGCCGGGAGUGCAAGUCAGAUGUGAAAUCCCGCGGCUCAACCGCGGAACUGCAUUUGAAACUGUG
rnacentral:rRNA from 1 species